UACGAAGGGGGCUAGCGUUGCUCGGAAUUACUGGGCGUAAAGGGAGCGUAGGCGGAUAGUUUAGUCAGAGGUGAAAGCCCAGGGCUCAACCCUGGAAUUGCCUUUGAUACUGGCUAUCUUGAGUAUGGGAGAGGUUAGCGGAACUCCGAGUGUAGAGGUGAAAUUCGUAGAUAUUCGCAAGAACACCAGUGGCGAAGGCGGCUCACUGGCCCGAUACUGACGCUGAGGCACGAAAGCGUGGGGAGCAACAGG
rnacentral:rRNA from 1 species